rnacentral:rRNA from 1 species
UACGUAGGGUGCAAGCGUUGUCCGGAAUUAUUGGGCGUAAAGAGCUCGUAGGCGGUCUGUCGCGUCGGCUGUGAAAACUCGGGGCUCAACUCCGAGCUUGCAGUCGAUACGGGCAGGCUAGAGUUCGGCAGGGGAGACUGGAAUUCCUGGUGUAGCGGUGAAAUGCGCAGAUAUCAGGAGGAACACCGGUGGCGAAGGCGGGUCUCUGGGCCAAAACUGACGCUGAGGAGCGAAAGCGUGGGGAGCGAACAGG